AUGAAGAAGCUCAGGGCCAAGGUGAAGGACAUAAGCAACAAGAACCUUUGCUACCGCCUCAUCGGCGAGAGCUCAGGCCCCAAGCCUACCGCGGUAGAGGAGCAGGCCAGCAUUGCCACUGCGGCAAUGUUUGCAGCUGUGGAAUACGAUUCAUCAUCAAAGGUGGACCUCCACCAGCUGAUUACUAGCUACAAUGAGGACCUUAGGGUGAUCGCUCUAUGGGGAACUAGUGGUGAUCUCGGGAAGAUGUCCGCCAUCCAGGAAGUUUAUGAUGACCCAAUGCUACUACAAAGGUUUGGAAUCCAUGCUUGGAUCAGGUUGUUGCAUCCAUUCAAUCCACGAGAGUUCAUCAGUAGUUUGGUAAGACAAUUUUGUGAAAAUUCCCAUCAUGAGGUUGAAAAGCCAGAGCAAGAAACAAGUGUUGGGGUUGUUCUUGCCAAGACGGAGAAGAUGGAUCAAAGUGAUUUAGUCCAGGUGUUUAAUGCGCAGUUGUGUAAGAAUAGCUACCUUGUUAUCAUAAAUGACCUGUCCACAAUCGAAGAGUGGCAUUGCAUUAAGAAGUACCUUCCUGACAACAAGAAACAAAGUAUAAAUGUUUCUACGUAGCAAGUUGAAAUUGGAAGCUUGUGCACAGAGAAACCAUGCCAAAUUUCCGAGUUCAAGCAAUUGUCUUGUGAUCAGACUAUUUAUUCGUUCCACAAGACAAAUUCAAAGGAGCGGGUCAACCUGGGCAGUGGUAGUGUGGCAAUGUUUGACACCAACAAAUCAAGGCUUUCAGGUGUGGAGAAUGAUAAAUUAAAGAAUUCUAUUCAAGAAGAUCCUACUGGAGCAAGAAAAACUGAAACACAAAAGAAAGUCAUACCACAAAUGAAACUUAAAGAGUCGAAGGAGGAGUUAGUUCGGGUGCUAAAGCAAAAAAAGUGCCUUAUUGUUCUUGAUGAUAUAUUGUUGACUUAUGAAUGGCAGUUGGUCAAAUCGUGUUUGGAUAAUGCGCGAAGGGUCAUAAUCACCACAAGAGAGAAAAAUAUUGCCAGACACUGUUCAAGAGAAAAAGACAAGAAUAUGUACUGUCUUGGAGGUCUAAAAAAUGAUGAUGCACUUGACCUCUUCAUAAAGAAGGUAUUUCCGUAA
rnacentral:rRNA from 1 species